UUUCUAAGCCAACUUCCAAUAUUAUUCUUCCAACCCCCACUCUAAUCAGUUCCGAUAUUAUCCACUCUAGAUCCCAUGACCUCAUCUCAUCCAACCCGAUCACUCUAGUGUCAUGACAUAUCAAUACAAUCUAAAGUCAGAACCCAUGUGAUCCGUGCACCAAUAAACAAUAUUUCUAAUGUACUCAAAUAUGGAAAAUGACUCAAACAAGAGAACUGUCUCGCAAAUUCAGCGGGUAUCACCACAACGCAAUGUUAAGAACCCAUCACACAUCGUAGAACCAAAACACAC
rnacentral:lncRNA from 1 species